UUUUAUUUACCAUUUUUUUCUUAUUUUUUCUGGAUUUUAUUUGAUUAGUAGAGUUUUCUUUGACCUAAACUUUUCUAGUAGUUUGGAAGUUAUACCACCUUGGAUUUUUAUCCUACAGCUUACUGAAAUUAAAUUUUUACUUCACCAUUUAAGGAUAAUCAGUAUCCUUUUCUUUCUCUGAACAAAACUGGAACUUUAACAUGUUUUUCCACUUUAUUCACAACUCCUCCCAUGUUGUAGUUAUUAUAUAUAACAAUAUAUAAAAUUAUUAUCAUCCGUAUGAUUAUCAUGGGUACAUAUCAUUGUGUGGUUAUCAUGUACAUCAUGUCUGUUUAAUCAUCUAGGCUUAACUGGGCAUGGGAGGGCCUCAGCCAUCUGCCCCUGGGCUGGAGUCAGAACCCCUUGGGCCAGAGGGAGAAGGGUCCUUCCCCGGGCUGCAGUUAGGAACCUCACACAGCUGCAUCAGCUUAGUGAGAGCAGAUGAUGUACUUGGGGGGGGCCUCCAGUCCUGAGGGUCAGUUUCUCUUUUGUGCCCCUUGCCCCAGAGCCCAGCCCCCAGCCCCAGAUUCAGAUUCAUUCAUUGUGAGACAUCAGCCUGGAGUGUGGGACCCCAGGAGCCACAGAGAACCUGGCAGUGACCUGGCUGAGCAAGGGCCUCCCCAGGGAGUUGGAGCCGAGAGAGACACUGGGGCCAGCCCCCGACUCCAGGAAUCUAAGCCUGAGCCUGCCCCUGGGCCAGUUGAAUGGCCACCUCACCUGUGUGGUCAGCAACCCUGUGGACAAGAAGAAUGCAACUUACACCUGGAGAACAUCUGUCCAUCGGCGGAAAUUGGACCAACGUGUGGAGACUGCUGCAUCACCCAGGACAUAAAUCUGGGACUGGCAUGUGGGCACCCCCUUUCCCAGCACUGAGGAGCCCAGAAGACUGAAUUAGUCAUCAGAAUCCAAGCAGGGGAGGAGGAGGACUUGAGGAUUAAGGACUGAGGAUUCCCUAGACCUGGAAAGCUCAUGUCGCCCAGACUCAGGCCCUCCCUGGAUGGGCUGGAAAAGCUUAGCACAUUCAGGCUGGAAGAUGGCCAUUUUUUGCUGCAUGACAGAUGUGCCAUUUCUGAGAUGAUUAACACCUCUGAGAUUAUGCAGCAGGAACAAGGGAUGGAAAAAAGGAGGAUGAGUCCAGCGGCCUCCUCCCACCCACAUCCCCCUAGGCUCUGCUUGCUCACGUGGGGCUCCCGUCUGAACAGUCUCCUCCAUGUCAUUUCCUCACUCGCUCAGCCACCCAGCAUUCAACCCUCGCACUAGGACUGAAGGCCUACCAUGUGCUGGGGGGGCGUCAGUGAGCCGUAAGCUGAGCCCCGCCCUCAAGGAGCUCAGAGUGCGGUAGGGCAUCACCACAUACCAGCUGUGUGACCCUGGACAAGUCGCUUGAUUUUUGGAGCCUUUUUGUAAGAUGUGCAAUAAUUGUAUCUACUUCAUAGGGCUGUGGUGCAAACUCAAAGGGGAAUCUAUGGAAAGUUAUCAACACAGUGUGUGGUAUAGAUUGAGUCAAUAAUUAUUAGAAAAUACUUCAAAGAAGAGGAGGAGUAAAUUUCUAAAUAUAAAGCCACAUAGUAAGUGCUGAAGUCACAGCAAAUACAAAGGAUAUGGUUCAAGCACAAAAAAGAAAGAAAGAAACUGAGUAACUGCUGCAGGAGUUGGGAAAGGCAUCACAGAGAAAGGAACACCUGACUUGGGCCUUGAAGGAUGAAUAGGAGUUUUCUUGUGGCAGAAUGAGAAAGAUACCCCAAACAGAGAGCACAACGUGUCCUGAGGUCUGGUGACCCCAGAUUCUUCCAUUCUCUCUCCCUCUUGGGAUACACUUCUCUUCUAGAUUCUGAGAGGUGAAAAGAGAUCCAGGUUGAGGGGAUGAGCAAUGGCACAUCCAGCUAGCAGGAGCCUCCAAGUUUCCAGUGCAGAGAAAAGACAUAAAACCUAGCAGAAGAAACAUUAAAGUGACAGUGGGAAGUGUGCAGGGAGAUUAGAAAGGAGGAAACCUCUCAGGGCUGCAUCAAGGAUGUCCACUUGGGAUACAGGUCCUGAGCCAGGGUGGUCCCACCUCCUCCCCCUGCCUGCACCAGGCCUGACUGAGGCAGACCUGACACCAGCCUUUGACCCCACAUUCAUUUCAGAGCAAACGGCUUUGGAGAGGCAUCCGUCCCACGGUUCUGAUGGUGGGCCUGGGCGCUGGAGUGUGGAUCUGGAUGAGGAAGAAGACGGAGACUGGGAGAGGUGGGUCUGCUCUCCUGCCCGAGGGGCCCAGCUCAGCAGCUGCUCCCCAGGCCCUUCCCACAGAAGAAUCUGCUGACCUGCACACUGGUGGGGCUGAUAGCCACGACUCCCCCUACAUGAAGAUCAGACUCCUGGGACACCCUGAGGAUGCUGGGAGCUGAGGUGCAAUGAGAGGAAACCACCGAUGAGGAGUACACCUCAACCAACUGUCCACAAUCUCAUCAGAUGUCGCUGCCACCCAGGGAGGAGGGGUGGCAGAGCAGGAGAGGCAAGAAUGUAAAUGGACAGGUGUCUGGUAGACCCUGCCAUCUGCAUAGGACCCAAAGGAAGCAAAAGCAGGAAGACAUGGAGAAGGGCAGCUGCCAUUCAUACAGCCCGAGUGUGCUCCAGUAGUCCACACUAUCUUUGAGAAGAUCCAGAAAAGCCCAGAACCCCAGGGUGACACCGAGGCCGUGAAGACCCUGGGGCAGUGAGGGGGCCUUCGCAAGAUCUCCCCCACCCCACCAUUCACCCCAGCAUCCUAAGAUCUCCCUCCUUCAGGUGGACCUGGGACUAGACCCCAAGUCUUUCUGACCCAUCCCACUGAGACAGCAGAGCAGCAGGAGCUGCUCCCCUGGGUUCCCCACCAAAGCUUUCUCCCUUCACAGACUGUGGGCAGUGAUGGUGCUACUCGAAUAUCCAAGUGUGAGAGGUAAGCCUUUCAGCAGUCAGCCAGAUUUCUGACCUGUGACCAUCUUAACCCCAUUAGGGAACACCCAUGGUUAGGCAGGACCUGCAUACGGAUGGUCAGGGGAUAGAGAUGCUUUCCUGGAACAGGGAGAGUCCUGGUGCCUCUGAGAAUGAUGAGUCUUGGGUGGAGGAACUUCAGGAUGUCAUAGCCCAGCCCAGUACCCAAGAAUAGAGAAAGGGAUGGCCUUUGACUAUGGAAAAGCCAGAGGCUGGCAGAUACAAGAUUCCGGGUCAGUUGUGCCUGGGAGGGGUGGAAAGGGAGGGAAAUGCUUUUUGAGCUCCAGUACCUACCAGGCUUAAUCUAAGCACAGUAAAUGAACUAUCUCAGGAUUUUGCAAAUUCAAGUAAUUCACAGACCCUUUUAUUUUUAUUACAUGAUAUAUGCAUACAGUAUAAAACUCAAAAGGCAGCUCUUGUUGACAUGAUAAUGUUUCAGCAUCUUAUUGCUAUUGUAAAUGGGGUCUUGUUCCCAUUAGAUCUUCCAACUAGUUGAUUAAAAUAAUGCACACAUAACAUAUAUAAAUUUUCAUGUUACUAAGUUUCUUUUCUGUUUGUAACAGUUUUUCAUUUGAUCUCUUUGAAUAUCUGAGUAAAUAACCAUAUUAUCAACAAA